UAAUAAAGUUCUCUCUGAACCAAACGUGCUG
rnacentral:piRNA from 1 species